AUACUGGUUCAUGUAGAAUAUGUUUCCUUCUCUUCUAUAUUAUUAUCCUGUUCUUAACUAUGAAGUUGAUAAUGUUCCUAGCUUUAUCCUUUGAAAAUAGACACGAGUUAGCAGAGUUAGCCCAUGUCAUGUUAGGUCAUUCCUCUACAUGUUGCUUAACGUUCUAACUGUACAGAAGAACAUAAACAUAUCCGUUGGUAAGGAGGAAACAAACUCUCAUACUGAUAAGAACUACACUUCUGUUAAGUUCACAUCUGUCACCUUGUCCUUCUCAUGCAGAUUUCUACUGGAAGCCUUGGAGGACCUCGACACAAGCCUGCGGACCCUAAAUUCGAGGCUAUUCGUAGUACGAGGCCAGCACACAGAUGUCUUUCCAUGACUUUUCAAGGUGUUUGAGGAGCUGCUCCUGGAUGCAGACUGGAGUGUGAACGCAGGCAGCUGGAUGUGGGCUCUCCUGCAGCUCCUUCUCCCAGCAGUUCUUCCACUGCUACUGUCCUGUGGGCUUCGGCCGGAGGACUGACCCCAGCGGAGACUACAUUAGACUCGUCCUCUCACUCCGGACAGUAAGACCGGACGCUAGCGGGACCCUCACCCCCGGGGAAGAGGGGCCACGGCUCCAACCUGCUGGAGCUAACAGAGUGGGGCACCCAGGCCAAGGUCCAUUGCUGCAGCUCAGCCCCAGCUCAGCCCUUACUAGCAGACGACUGUUGACGCACCUGGACUCAACGCUGAUUGGAGGGAGAGCCCUCCACACACAGCCCUGCGAACCAGUAACAAAGACCUUUUUAACACCAUCGUACCGACCCAAACUGCUGGCUCUGAGCACAUUGUCCUUUUCAGCAUGGUGCCAUCAAAUCUGGUGUGUUCAUGACCAGGCCAGCUCAGUACAGCUUGGUUGGUAUCGGCCCAGUUCGGGUCAGUAGUGUGAAAAGCCUGUAACAGUGCUGUUGUUCCCAGUCCCAUAUGGAGGUAAUCUGCUAUUGUGCCUGCAGUAUAAAUGAAGGAAAGGGUCAAAUAUAAACCAUAUUCAUUCAUCUGUGUUUUACUAACUACG